rnacentral:rRNA from 1 species
GUGGGGAAUUUUGGACAAUGGGCGCAAGCCUGAUCCAGCAAUGCCGCGUGCAGGAAGAAGGCCUUCGGGUUGUAAACUGCUUUUGUACGGAACGAAACGGUCCUGGUUAAUACCUGGGGCUCAUGACGGUACCGUAAGAAUAAGCACCGGCUAACUACGUGCCAGCAGCCGCGGUAAUACGUAGGGUGCAAGCGUUAAUCGGAAUUACUGGGCGUAAAGCGUGCGCAGGCGGUUUUGUAAGACAGACGUGAAAUCCCCGGGCUCAACCUGGGAAUGGCGUUUGGGACUGCAAAGCUGGAGUGCGGCAGAGGGGGAUGGAAUUCCGCGUGUAGCAGUGAAAUGCGUAGAUAUGCGGAGGAACACCGAUGGCGAAGGCAAUCCCCUGGGCCUGCACUGACGCUCAUGCACGAAAGCGUGGGGAGCAAACAGGAUUAGAAACCCGGGUAGCC